GACGAACGCUGGCGGCGUGCUUAACACAUGCAAGUCGAACGGAAAGGCCCUGCUUGCCGGGUGCUCGAGUGGCGAACGGGUGAGUAACACGUGGGUGAUCUGCCCCUUACUUUGGAUAAGCCUGGGAAACUGGGUCUAAUACUGGAUAGGACCAUGCUGUAGGUGGUGUGGUGGAAAGAUUAGUUUCGGUAAGGGAUGAGCUCGCGGCCUAUCAGCUUGUUGGUGGGGUAAUGGCCUACCAAGGCGUCGACGGGUAGCCGGCCUGAGAGGGUGGACGGCCACAUUGGGACUGAGAUACGGCCCAGACUCCUACGGGAGGCAGCAGUGGGGAAUAUUGCACAAUGGGCGCAAGCCUGAUGCAGCGACGCCGCGUGGGGGAUGACGGCCUUCGGGUUGUAAACUCCUUUCAGCCAUGACGAAGCCCUUGUGGUGACGGUAGUGGUAGAAGAAGCACCGGCUAACUACGUG
rnacentral:rRNA from 1 species